CGGGCCACUUAGCCUUACAACUCAAGAAUUUAAAAGUAUUGAGGAAAUUUUUAUUUGAUGUUUUGCUUGCCCUUGAUAGAAAAGGCAUCUGUAUGGACUUGCCAACUGUAGUUUUUGGAAGGACUCACCCUGGACGAUCCUCCGGGCCAUCCCAUACGCUCCCUUCUCUCCGCUCUAGGAUUCUGCUCUACUUGGAGAAAACUGGGCAGUUCUGGCUGGUUUCCUACUUCGGGGUUGAAGGUGCCAAGCCAAGGUUUGGCCUGGAGUCUCUUCGAGACGCGGAGCACCUCUGACCCCUACUGGCCGCUAGCGGUAUCACAUCUCUAGAACGGCCAGGACUCGAGUACGUGAUGACAUGCAGCAACUACUCCCGGCCUUCCCCGUGUUUGAUUGGCAAAGCCUCAUGAAAUUGAACACUGAGGAAGAUUUCAAGAAAGGAAGUUGCAAAUGGUUUGCAUGCAAUGGAGACAAAUAGACCUGAGCAUAAAUCACAACCUGGCCACCUACCAGAGAUGUCUCUUUGAACAUAUCAAAGAGGAACAUGUCAGCUCCUCUGCACCUUGGUUUCAUUGUCUGUGAAAGGAAAUGACAGGAAAUAGAAUAUAUGUUGAAUACAUAAACGAAAAGAAUACAUGGACACAUCCUUGUUGGUAAGAUCAGAAAAAAAUAAAUGUAAAGCAUUUACAGUACUGCAAAGUACACAGAAACAGAAAAAGUUCAUUGAGAUCAUUUAAUCUUUCUGUGUAUCAAAUAUCCUGAAGUCUUCCCAGCCAAUAUAUAUGUAGUGCAGAACUAUUUGGGAAUGGGGGACAAAAGGCAA